GAAAUGUGAUAAUUAAUGUGAAUUGCAGAAUUCAGUGAAUCAUCGAGUCUUUGAACGCACAUUGCGCCCCCUGGUAUUCCGGGGGGCAUGCCUGUCCGAGCGUCAUUGCUGCCCUCAAGCACGGCUUGUGUGUUGGGCUUCCGUCCCUGGCAACGGGGACGGGCCCAAAAGGCAGUGGCGGCACCAUGUCUGGUCCUCGAGCGUAUGGGGCUUUGUCACCCGCUCCCGUAGGUCCAGCUGGCAGCUAGCCUCGCAACCAAUCUUUUUAACCAGGUUGACCUCGGAUCAGGUAGGGAUACCCGCUGAACUUAAGC
rnacentral:misc_RNA from 1 species